rnacentral:rRNA from 1 species
GAUGAACGCUAGCGGCAGGCUUAACACAUGCAAGUCGAGGGGUAUGCCGAUUUAUCGGCAGAGACCGGCGCACGGGUGCGUAACGCGUAUGCAAUCUACCUUUCACAGAGGGAUAGCCCAGAGAAAUUUGGAUUAAUACCUCAUAGUAUAGCAGUUUCGCAUGAAACCACUAUUAAAGUUCCAACGGUGAAAGAUGAGCAUGCGUCCCAUUAGUUAGUUGGUAAGGUAACGGCUUACCAAGACAAUGAUGGGUAGGGGUCCUGAGAGGGAGAUCCCCCACACUGGUACUGAGACACGGACCAGACUCCUACGGGAGGCAGCAGUGGGGAAUAUUGGACAAUGGGCGCAAGCCUGAUCCAGCAAUGCCGCGUGAGUGAUGAAGGCCUUAGGGUUGUAAAGCUCUUUUUACCCGAGAUGAUAAUGACAGUAUCGGGAGAAUAAGCUCCGGCUAAACUCCCGUGCCAGCAGCCGCGGUUAAAGU